UUCAGAUUGUCUCCUCGGGCGAUGGGGGGAUGGGAGGAGAGGGGAAGCCUUCGCCACAUUCCUUCACUGACACGCUCCUCUCUGCUUUUCUUCUUCUUCUUCAGCGUUCAUCGCCGUUGUUGUUGCGUUCGUUUUGAGGGGGGCAGGGUGGCGAGUCCUCUCAGCUCGAAACCGUGUCAGAGGAUGUGGACGAGAACUCGACCUUCAGAAACCAGAUUAAAAAUGACCUUUUACUCGCCAUCAGCUGUCGAGACGCCCGGUCAGAUCUCUGUGACGUGUUUGGUUGUGGAGGUCGUGGGGUCGCUCACCUGUUUCCUGUUUAUUAGUCAGUCUGUUAACGUUCACACAGCCCUGCUUUAAUCAACAUGAGGAGACCAGAGUCAGGGACCCUCCAGUAAGAUGAAACCUGAUUGGUCCCUGUCAGCAGGUCUGAUGGUCUGAUGGUCCAACCAGUGACAUCACACGAUCUGAUUGGCUGUGGGUCAACAUCACAUGACUCACACACUUUAAACUUUGGAUGUGACGUCAUUUCCAGCCCCGACUUCUGACUUCCGAGGUCUCUCAAACGCAGCGUAUGGUAGUCAGUUUUGACCUGUGUCCGCCAGUACGGCAACUCCACUGAGACAAACUACCUCACAGCGAGGAAACUCCGGCUGUAAACUACCUGACAUACAGCGGAUCGGGAUUAAUGAACGCUGUCAUACAGUCUGGUCCCUACAGCAGCUUGAAACCCUGAGAUUUAGAGCUCCCCCUGCUGACCGGCUGCAGAACGGGUCAUAAAUUCUGCCAACAGAGACGCAAAGAUUCGAUCUGCACGUCUCAUAAAUUCGGGACGUUUUCUUCGUGAGCGUGGACGUUUAAAAUCCGACAGUCGAGUUUAAUUGAGAGUUUAAAAGUAAAUUAUAGUUUUUAUAAAUAUUUCCCUCCACAGAAACCGAAGGAGGCGAAUCACAGAGAGACGAAGUGUUUGGAGAGGAAGACUGAUUUACCUGCAGGUUCAAAUUACAGACGGUGUCAUAAUUGUUAGUGCGUGUCGGGGUGUGUGUGUGUGUGUGUGUGUGUGUGUGUGCUGCCAGUACAAUGAUUGGGGUUAUCCAUUAUUGAUGAUGUCCUGAUGAGAUCAAUCAAGCCUGAGUUUUCUCGUCUUUUGGCUGCUGAAGCUGAUAAUAACGCCGUUAUGACAUACUAAUCGUCAUGUCAUGAAUAUUUAAAUCACAGGGAACACACGCUCCAUAUUCAUGACCUCUCCGUGUUUUUGUUGUGCUUUUUUUUCUCCUGCCGUCUGGAGAGACACCCCCCAUCAUGAUUCUCCCUCUUCACUCUUUCAUUAUCGAGCCGCUCAUGUCUUCAUCUUCUUCUCUGUGUUUUAAACUCUGGAAGCUCCUCGUCAGUUUGCACGCCGGCGCUCUCCUCCUCAGCCGUGACCAGACGUCCACAGAGGACCGAACCACAUCUCUGCAGCAUCCCCAUCUCUUCUUCUCCUCUUCUUCUUCUGCUGCUGCUGUAUUGUUGUUUUAUUUACCUCUGAGACAAAGAGCAUAUUUAUUCAUGACUCACACAAAGUGCCUGUAAAAUAAACAUUUGUUUCCUCCUAAUGAAAAGCGUGUUUCUGAAAUGAGUUGUUUUGUUUCCUGCUCGACCCCGAAUAACUCGCUCUGGAUAAAACAAACGUGUUUGUUAAUAAAAAGGCAAUAAUGCGAUGGCUUACAGUGUAAAUGCAUUUGUUCCAGCAACUAUCCUGUGGAGGCGCAUCAGUAAUAAUUCAUAAACAAAAGAGCUAACUGUGUUCAUAAUUCAUAAGAGGAGAAACAUAUACACUCCAGUCGACGACGACGCUGCUGCAGCUCGCUGGGCCGGCGUGCGGCAAACGAAGUGUCCUAAAUUAGAGUUUGACGAGAAGAAACACGAGGAUGUUUUUUUUUUUUAAAGAGGGAAAAAAGUUUAAAAAGUUAUUAAAAAAAUAAUAAUUCAACAAAAUCUGUAAAAACUUUAAAAUUUCCUGCUGCUGAAAAACUAAAACUCACGAUUCUUAAAGACUAUAAACAUGUAAAUAUGUUAUCAGACAGACACGGACGGACCGACGCUCAGAUCACAGGUGUGUGUGUGUGUGCAUGAAAGUGUGUGUGUGCAUUGUGUAAUAAAUACUCUUUAAAACACUCACACAUCAGUUCAUAAUAAUAAUAAUAAUAAUAAUAAUAAUAAUAAGAUCGUCGUUUAGUUUCUCCUCUUAGAUUUCUGUGUUUGUCUUUAGUUUGUUUCUGUUUCUCUGGGUCUGAAGCUGCUGUCUGCUAACACACACACACACACACACACACACACACACACACACACACACACACACACCCAUCACCCCCUACUCCUGAUAGGCCAGAGGGGUUCCAUUAGCCCAGACCACCUGCUGUGAAACACCCACUCAUCCUCUCUCCCUUCACUCGCUCACACACACAUGUCCACACACACACACACACACACACACACACACACAUGUCCACACACACACUCAAGCUCACUCUCACGCACUUGUGCAGAAACCUCCCGUCCUCCCUGACUCACAGUUUCUGUCUGCCGAGUAUCAAACUACUAAAACAUGGAGUCUGUUUUUAAUGUUCUUCUUACUUUACAGCCUUAAAAUAAGUGUUUGUGUUUCUACUGCAGCCAAAGGAAGAUUAUCUUAUAUAAAAUAAUAUUAUAAUAAAGAAUUUAUGUUUCUAAAAACUGAAAAUCUGAGAGAAAUGUUUGAUUUCAUCGUUUCACUCGAUGUCAGUAAAAUAAUUUCAACAAUCUCAGGAAGACUCUGUCCUUCAGUCCUUAAACAUUUAUGCGUUUACCUGCUGAGAGGAGUCGUAUUUCAGAGACUGAGGGUCUGUGUUUACACUGUUAAGUAACAGUGAAAACUGCACCUCACUGAGGGCCGUGCAGAGAGAGACCGCAACGACCGAACCAAAGAGUGUCGGGACACAGACAUCGAUCAGAUACAGAGAAACUUCUGUCCAAACCUCCUCCUUCUCCUCCUUCUUCUCCUCUUGUGUCCUCCUUCCUUGUCCUUGAAUUUCAUUUCUCUGCACCCCUCCUCCUCCCUCUCUCCCUCCCUCUCACGCCCCUCCUCGGAUCAGCAGCCGUGGAGAAGACGAGGCGAUGCGCUGCAAUUACUCUAAUUGGUUGUGACUUCUUCAUUUACAUGACAAGUGCACGGCGGUCCUGGGAACCAACGGCCUGCUUUCUGCACCCUGUCGCAGCUCUGGUCAGCCCGGGACCUCCGUCCUGUGAGCUCCAAGAGGGGAGGGGGGGACUAUGAGGAGACAAAGGGGGUCUGGCAUUGGAUGGUUUGGGGGUUCCUCGUGGGUGCAGGGGUCCCAGACCGCAGGAGUAGGUGAAGGUUGUGGAGUGAUCAGGAGGAGGACUCUGAGGAUCUGACUGGUGAGAGUUUUGUGAGAAAAGUGGUGAUGAUGAGAAAAGACGAGACAGCAGAUCAAGUUCAGACGCUCGUCCAGAUCUGAGGCUAAACCCUGAUCCUGAAGUCCCCGUGUCCCCGGGUUAGGGGGACUUGGGGGAGUUUUACUCCUUCUGGGGGGUUGAGGGUGGUGGGAUUGUUGGCUGGACGCUGAACAACAAUGUUGUCUGCUUCUCAGCAUUCCUCCUGCUCAUCGUCACGCUGCUGCUGCCACCUCCACCGCCGCCGCCGCCGCCGCCGCCGCCACCCCAACAGGGCAGCAAUCUCAAACUGCGAAACUUCUCAUUAGCGUGGCUGCUGCGCACAAAUGCCUGUACACACACCAACCCUCUGUCUGUGUGUGUGUGAGUGAGUGUGUGUUCUGCAGUGUUAGUUUAAGCAUGAUGAGUGUACUCAGCUGAGCCAUUCUUAUGCUAAUCCAGGAGUGAGGUAUUCACUCUGGUGGGCGGCUCUCAUGUUUGCUUUGCAGAUAAAAAGGAGGUUUAUUACCAGCUAAAGUUCACUUGUCAAGACUAAUCUCAUUUAAACAGCCAGAGAGCCUGAACACACACACACACACACACACACACACACACACACACACACACACACACACACACACACACACACACACACACACACAUUACUCAGUAUGUCUGCAGUAAAUCACGGUUUCUUUGAGAACAUCUACACCUCCAUCUACUGUGAUCAAGAAGGAGUGAAUCAAACUCACCGACAUGAAACUACAAAUCAUCGAGAUUUUUAUGGUUUUCAGAUGAUUUCAAACCAACUUUGUCCAACAGGUUAGUCACAUGACUCUGGAGUGGGAAUCAACGCAUGGAAAGGACAACUGGACUUAGUCGGAAACAUCUAAACUGGACUUAGUUGAGACGUUUCGAACUAAGUCCAGUUGUCCUUCCCAUUUAAAAUUAGAAAUCACUCAGUCCGUUUCCAUGACACUCAAGAAAACUGAAUUAUCGCCUUAUUCCGAUAAAGACCGGACAACUGAAGGUCAUGUAAACACCUUAGUCCGACUGUAAUCAGAGUUUGAGAACUCCGAUUAAGACACCAAGAUUUGAUUUUCUCUACCAUGUAACCAGCGUAGUCGGAGUAUGAAGCCACGCCCCCGUAACCCCGUAACAAAACCCCCAGAGUAGAGGAGUAGCGUUGGUCUCAUCUUUAGAAAAAGUAGCGCGUCCAUCAUGUCGGACAAAAACAACGCUGUACGAUGCUCCAUCUUCUUGUUUCUCCAAAAUGCCCAGCAGCAGUUGUAGACACUUCUGAAUACGAGGACAAGGAGAGAGUCUGAUUCAGAGAAAAAGACGAAUUAUGAGUUUAGUCGAUUAAACUGUGACUGUAAAUGUACUGACUGACAGCUCAGAGAAUCACGAUCAAUCACGUCUAUUACUUAAAAUAUUUUAAUCACCUUUGAAUAAAAAACUUCUCAGAAAUGUCCUCCAUCUUUGACGGAAGAUAAAUGUUCACAGACACCAUCCAAAGGUUACUGUAGUUCAUCAUCAGCUGUUUGUUAACUGGUUCGUUGGACUGAAAAUGCUUCCCUUCCCUUUCCUUUAUUCGGCAGAGUCCGAUCUUCAGUCGAUGUCUCGGCUCGGACUUUAAACAGAGACCAGAUCUUUCCAACACUCAGACUCGGUCCUUCACUGACAGAUUUUGUAUUUUGAUGAGGAGUUGUUCUCGCUCCUCCUGGGGGAUCCUGAGGCGUUCCCAGGCCAGAUGAGAUUAUAUUCCCUGCAGCAUGUUCAGCGUAAACCCCGGGGCUGAGACCAGUUGGACAUGCCUGGAAAACCUCCAAAACAGAGAAGGGGGACCAGGAGGCACGCUGAUCUGAUGCCAAAACCACCUCAACCCUCUCUUUGAGCCGCUCCACUCAGAGCUGCAUCCAUAUGUCUGAGGUUAGGGUCUGACGCUGUGAGCGUGCCCCGAGUUUUCACUCAUGAAGCUGUGCCAACGCCAUGAUGGUUAUCACAGAGCCUCACUGAUGGUUUAUGUGGUCAUCUGAAGAUUUAGAAACAAUCAGGUAUCAACAUUUCUGACAGAGGCUAAGGUAAGCAGCAGGCCGGUCCGUUAUUCCCAAUUUUCAUGGCUCCGGAAGAGCGGCGAUUUUUGUUGUCCGUGAAUUCCUUCUGGGUCUGUUUAAGAGGCGAAUUUCAUGGUGGAUAACAGACAGUGGUAAUCUGAGAACUCACAAGAACCCACGGAGUCUCUAUGAAGACUGACACAUAGACAUAUAAGCAGUAGAUUGUGUCCUUCCAGAGGAGGAAAUCUACUUCUAGAAUCAGCAUCUCCUCAUCCAUGGUGUCAUCGGGGUGAAAUGACGUCUAAAAACCUUUCACUUGUUCGUCUCCGCCCGUUUGCAUGGUGUGAAAUACGAUCCUCCUGAAACACGGAGUGUUUUAUUUUGAAAAGAAGUUGGAUGUUUUAUUUUGAAAAGAAGCCGGAUGUUUUAUUUUGUGUCUGUGCCCGACUUCCUUUCCAGCACGGGUUAAUCUGUACUGAAUUUAUCCGCCAUGCUCCGGCGUCCAGAAAAAAUAGAACUCUUGUGAUCAGCUGAGGAGUCCGGCGAUCCGCAGAGGAACGGAAAGAAGUCGGUGUAAAUUGACACGUUAACUUGAAUGGUUACGAUCAGCUACGAUCGGAGGAUACGACCUUUUAGGAGAUGUUCCGGUGAAAUUUGGGGUCACCAAGACAACAAUAAACUCUGAAGACAUGAAACUGUUUCAGUCUGCCCCUGCUGGAUGUUUCAGGAACUUCCUCCAACCAGUCGGUUCAGGCUUAUCGGACCGUGAUUGGCUCUCAUGACCAACAAAUAAAACACGAUCUGACUUCCAGCACCGUGUAAACUCAGAUUAACCCUUCACACUGGUUUCAGGUUUUAAAAAUCAAGAUAAUAUAAAAAUCAUAGAUCUUUACACUGGUGAGGACCAUUGGCUUUUGGAGGACAUAAAAAGAUCUCCAAACAAACUCCUGUCAAUCAUGUCGAAAAACUCCUCACAGGAGCUUUAACUGCAAAUAGAUCUCUCACAUAGAUCACAGCUCUAUAAUAGAAGCUGUAGAACAUGUUCAUGUAGAUCUCUCACAUAGAUCACAGCUCUAUAAUAGAAGCUGUAGAACAUGUUCAUGUAGAUCUCUCACAUAGAUCACAGCUCUAUAAUAGAAGCUGUAGAACAUGUUCGUGUAGAUCUCUCACAUAGAUCACAGCUCUAUAAUAGAAGCUGUAGAACAUGUUCAUGUAGAUCUCUCACAUAGAUCACAGCUCUAUAAUAGAAGCUGUAGAACAUGUUCAUGUAGAUCUCUCACAUAGAUCACAGCUCUAUAAUAGAAGCUGUAGAACAUGUUCAUGUAGAUCUCUCACAUAGAUCACAGCUCUAUAGUAGAAGCUGUAGAACAUGUUCAUGUAGAUCCCUCACAUAGAUCACAGCUCUAUAGUAGAAGCUGUAGAACAUGUUCAUGUAGAUCUCUCACAUAGAUCACAGCUCUAUAAUAGAAGCUGUAGAACAUGUUCAUGUAGAUUCUGUGAGUUCGGAUUAGAAACUUCAUGACUCCUCUUUUAUUCGUCUGUCUGUUUAAUCUCCUCUGUGUGUCUGACCCUCUUGUUCCCCCCUCUGGUGAUCUCCACAGGGUCUGACCUGACGUGAGGUCAAUGAUGUCAGUCUUGACCUGUGGUGACCCCUGUGAGGACCCUUGACCGCUGAGAGCUCCAACAAUAGAGUGUCACCCUCGGGGGUGAGGAAGAGGAGAAAAGGGACCGUGACGAGCGGUAAAACAAGUCUUAAACUCACCUCCUUUAUUCUUCUUCUCUGAUGGUUGGGGUCUGACUCCGGGUUCAGGUCCAGUCCGGGUGUUUCCAAACAUCAGCGCUCGGUCGUCUGAGGAGGUCACUGAGACUCUGAAGCUGGUUAGGAGACAGGAAAUAAGAGAAGGAAGGAGGAAAGGAUGAGUGUAGGAGUGGUACCUGGAUUAAAGUCAGUGCUCUUUAGUGUGUAACCUCCCCAUGUGAUGAAUAUCUAAUUAGACUUUUUUUUUAAUACACAUCGUAAAAUCCAAUUAGUCCACACAAAAUCAGAACAUUACUCUCCCAAGGUGACAAUAGAUUAAAAUAGAUUGGCAAUUUCAUCUGAUCCUGUAAAAGAUGCUUCAUCUCACUUUUUUCUCAUUAAUCUGCCGCUGUCAGCGCGAGCGCCGUAAUCACUGAAACCGGCGCCAAUUCCAGGCCCACAUAUCAACUUCCUGUUCGAUGGUUCGCACCGCGUUCAGAAACACUCAAAUACAAAGUCUGAGGGAAAUCUAAUCUACAUUUAUGUCCUCAGGACUGUUUUAUUAUGUCUUAAAAAAACUAAAAGGUUUAUUUUGUUUAUUUAAUCAGUGUUUAUGUUUGAGAAUCAAAUAUUUCAUUUGAAAAUAAAUACUAUAUUUUGUUUUAUUUUGUCUGAUGGCGACACUAUGACUCCCACCUUAACUAGUCUGAACUCUGCAGGUGUCUUUUUGUUCACAUUACUCAUAAUCUAACUGCAGUUCCAUGAACGCCCACUAGAGGCUGGCUGCAGAAGCCUUAAAAACCACAUACACAACCAUUCAAAAACACGCUAAUCAUUAUAACUGUAAUACAGUUUCAUAAAAUCUGCAUAUUUGUCCAGUUUAAUUAGGUUUUAAAAACUCUACAAACAUCUCUUUAUGUUUCUAGUAUAGAUAAAAACAUGUGAGUUACCUGUAGACUUGUAAUUUUGCACUUAACCAAGAUUUCAAAAGUCUUUAAAAACCAUCUUUACAGCAUAAACAAACACGUUUACAGCCUGCAGAGCCGUGAGUUUAGUGCUGUAAGUCGAGUGCUAAAGUCAAAGGUACAUUUUCUAAAUUCCUUAAAUGUAAACACAUUUUUUGGGGUUAAAAAACGAGCUUUUAAAUGAACUUUUACACCUUCAGAGUCUAAUAUUUCAUGUCCAGACCUGGUUGUGCAGGUUAGAGCUGAACAGACGAAACAGAUGUAAAAGGUUGUAGUGCAGAGUGAACUGAAGUUAUUACAGUAAACUGAACUUUAAGUGUGCACACACAGGACCCAAUCAACUCUUCAUAUUUAAGUCACUAAAUUUAACCAUUUCAGUAUUAGAGGAUUGGUUCUUGGUACCGAUAAGUGAUCAGUGUCAUACAUGAGUGAAAUGAAGGCCGCUGAAAAAAAGAUGAUUUAAUGUUUUCAUGUGCAGUGGACCGAAAACUUCAGCUUUAAACUUGGAGACCAAAUCUAGUCCUGCUGCAAACUGAAUGACAGUAAGAGUCUGAGAUGCAUUCCUACAAACUGGGACACUGGAGCAACACGUAUUUUAUAUAUGUUAAAUAUUACAUAUCGUGUGAUUUUUCGUUUCUGUGUUUCGUCGGAUCGUCUGAUAAAGAUGAUAAAAUGUUCAUUGAUAACUCAGAGGGAAAUAACUUCUCAGGUUGAACUUUGAGGGUUAAACUCGAUCCAGUCCUGUGCAGAGCUCCGGUCUGACUCCUGUGAUGAGCCGAGGUUCUCCUCCAUCACUGAUCACCUCUGUUAGCAUCUAUCUGUGUGACUGUGACCUGCUUACAGUUUACAGCAGCAGCAGCAGCAGCGUUGCUUUCAGGUUGCAUCACUCAGACCUGCAACUGUGUUUGCACGGCUUCCUCACUUUGAGCUAAUGCAACUAUCAAAGAGCGCGCCUGAGAAACAUGCUCCCACUGCAGCUCAGGAGUGAAUUCAAUCAAACAAUCCGACUCAGCUUCAAUCUUAUCUCCCUCUCAAACACACACCGCAGCUUUUCUUCCUCACUUCCUCCUCCGAACUUCGCCUCCAGGAAGCUGCUCGGCACUUUGGCAGCCGUAAACGCCAGAAACACGGCGAUAUAAAGGAGCGAUUGUUGGUUUUUAUUCUCGUAAGGCUUUGUGUCCUGCUAAGAUAGUGUGUAAGGUGUGUUCAGAAUCAAAAACUCUGCGUCUUUUGUCGAGUCUGUGAAAUUUACACUUUUUUAAAAACUGCCUUUUGAAGUUUUGGCUCCUGAGAGAGAGAGAGAGAGAGAAAGGAGACAAAGCUAAAGUAUGAGGUGUGUAACAGGACAGGACACACACACACACACACACACACACAAAAACACACACAAAAACACACACAUAAACACACACACGGUCUCUCAGCAGGCUGCCAGGUUCCUUCUGAACAAGCCAAGGAUGAAACCCAAAGCUAACGUGUGUGUUCUCGCUCUGACCACAGCUGCUCCGCUCUCACGCUCCCUGAGGUGUGUCUCUCUCUCUCUCUCUCUCUCUCUUUCACACACACACACACACACACACACACACACACACACACACACACACACACACACACUAUAGGUAUGAGAUAGCGUCUGAAACUGAACAAACACGGAGGCAGAGGAGAGGUUGUCGUCCUCUGCUCUCCUCUCAUCAUCUUAUCAAUCAGAGCCGGGUCACGACCACAGAGGCAGCGCAGAUGAACUCCCGCCGCUGCCGCCACAAAUGAGGAGGGGGUGGGGGGGUCAUGACCACGGUGGCACAGGAAUGAACCCUUG